GAUGAACGCUGGCGGCGUGCCUAAUACAUGCAAGUCGAGCGAACAGACGAGGAGCUUGCUCCUCUGACGUUAGCGGCGGACGGGUGAGUAACACGUGGAUAACCUACCUAUAAGACUGGGAUAACUUCGGGAAACCGGAGCGAAUACCGGAUAAUAUAUUGAACCGCAUGGUUCAAUAGUGAAAGACGGUUUUGCUGUCACUUAUAGAUGGAUCCGCGCCGCAUUAGCUAGUUGGUAAGGUAACGGCUUACCAAGGCGACGAUGCGUAGCCGACCUGAGAGGGUGCUCGGCCACACUGGGACUGAGACACGGUCCAGGCUCCUACGGGAGGCAGCAGUAGAGAAUCUUCCGCAAUGGGCGAAAGCCUGACAGAGCAACGCCGCGUGAGUGAUGAAGAUCUUCGGAUCGGAAAACUCUGUUAUGAGGGAAGAACAAAUGUGUAAGUAACUAUGCACGUCUUGACGGUACCUAAUCAGAAAGCCACGGCUAACUACGUG
rnacentral:rRNA from 1 species